rnacentral:rRNA from 1 species
GACGAACGCUGGCGGCGUGCCUAAUACAUGCAAGUAGAACGCUGAAGCUUGGUGCUUGCACCGAGCGGAUGAGUUGCGAACGGGUGAGUAACGCGUAGGUAACCUGCCUGGUAGCGGGGGAUAACUAUUGGAAACGAUAGCUAAUACCGCAUAAGAGUAGAUGUUGCAUGACAUUUGCUUAAAAGGUGCAAUUGCAUCACUACCAGAUGGACCUGCGUUGUAUUAGCUAGUUGGUGAGGUAACGGCUCACCAAGGCAACGAUACAUAGCCGACCUGAGAGGGUGAUCGGCCACACUGGGAAUGAGACACGGCCCAGACUCCUACGGGAGGCAGCAGUAGGGAAUCUUCGGCAAUGGACGGAAGGCUGACCGAGCAACGCCGCGUGAGUGAAGAAGGUUUUCGGAUCGUAAAGCCCUGUUGUAAGAGAAGAACGAGUGUGAGACUGGAAAGUUCACACUGUGACGGUAUCUUACCAGAAAGGGACGGCUAACUACGUG